UGCUGGAAUCCACCCCCAAACAGCAUCACUUUCAAUGGUGAGCCCAGGGACUAGGGAGCCCAGAUUCUCCACUCAAUCCACCUUAAGGAGAGAACCUGGGUUCCGCAGUUAAAACAACAUUGAAAGUGAUGCUGUUUUGGGGUGGAUUAUCUCCCACCCUGAAACAGCAUCACUUUCAAUGUGGAGUAGUGGUUAAGAGAAGGUGCGCUCUAAUCUGGGAAACCGGG